GAUGAAGAACGUAGCGAAAUGCGAUAAGUAAUGUGAAUUGCAGAAUUCAGUGAAUCAUCGAAUCUUUGAACGCACAUUGCGCCCGCCAGUAUUCUGGCGGGCAUGCCUGUUCGAGCGUCAUUUCAACCCUCAAGCCCCAGCGGCCUGGUGUUGGGGACCGGCGACCUCGCCCGAGCCCGCCCUCCGGGGCGCGUGCCCGGUGCGUCCGCCGCCCCCGAAAUGAAUUGGCGGCCUCGUCGCGGCCUCCUCUGCGUAGUAGCACAACCUCGCAAGCGGGAGCGCGACGCGGCCACUGCCGUAAAACGCCGAACUCUUUUAGAGUUGACCUCGGAUCAGGUAGGAAUACCCGCUGAACUUAAGCAUAUCAAUAAGCGGAGGA
rnacentral:misc_RNA from 1 species